rnacentral:rRNA from 1 species
GGGUUGUGAGGUUAAGCGACUAAGCGUACACGGUGGAUGCCCUGGCAGUCAGAGGCGAUGAAGGACGUGCUAAUCUGCGAUAAGCGUCGGUAAGGUGAUAUGAACCGUUAUAACCGGCGAUUUCCGAAUGGGGAAACCCAGUGUGUUUCGACACACUAUCAUUAACUGAAUCCAUAGGUUAAUGAGGCGAACCGGGGGAACUGAAACAUCUAAGUACCCCGAGGAAAAGAAAUCAACCGAGAUUCCCCCAGUAGCGGCGAGCGAACGGGGAGGAGCCCAGAGCCUGAAUCAGUGUGUGUGUUAGUGGAAGCGUCUGGAAAGGCGCGCGAUACAGGGUGACAGCCCCGUACACAAAAAUGCACAUACUGUGAGCUCGAUGAGUAGGGCGGGACACGUGGUAUCCUGUCUGAAUAUGGGGGGACCAUCCUCCAAGGCUAAAUACUCCUGACUGACCGAUAGUGAACCAGUACCGUGAGGGAAAGGCGAAAAGAACCCCGGCGAGGGGAGUGAAAAAGAACCUGAAACCGUGUACGUACAAGCAGUGGGAGCACGCUUAGGCGUGUGACUGCGUACCUUUUGUAUAAUGGGUCAGCGACUUAUAUUCUGUAGCAAGGUUAACCGAAUAGGGGAGCCGAAGGGAAACCGAGUCUUAACUGGGCGUUAAGUUGCAGGGUAUAGACCCGAAACCCGGUGAUCUAGCCAUGGGCAGGUUGAAGGUUGGGUAACACUAACUGGAGGACCGAACCGACUAAUGUUGAAAAAUUAGCGGAUGACUUGUGGCUGGGGGUGAAAGGCCAAUCAAACCGGGAGAUAGCUGGUUCUCCCCGAAAGCUAUUUAGGUAGCGCCUCGUGAAUUCAUCUCCGGGGGUAGAGCACUGUUUCGGCAAGGGGGUCAUCCCGACUUACCAACCCGAUGCAAACUGCGAAUACCGGAGAAUGUUAUCACGGGAGACACACGGCGGGUGCUAACGUCCGUCGUGAAGAGGGAAACAACCCAGACCGCCAGCUAAGGUCCCAAAGUCAUGGUUAAGUGGGAAACGAUGUGGGAAGGCCCAGACAGCCAGGAUGUUGGCUUAGAAGCAGCCAUCAUUUAAAGAAAGCGUAAUAGCUCACUGGUCGAGUCGGCCUGCGCGGAAGAUGUAACGGGGCUAAACCAUGCACCGAAGCUGCGGCAGCGACGCUGAUGCGUUGUUGGGUAGGGGAGCGUUCUGUAAGCCUGCGAAGGUGUGCUGUGAGGCAUGCUGGAGGUAUCAGAAGUGCGAAUGCUGACAUAAGUAACGAUAAAGCGGGUGAAAAGCCCGCUCGCCGGAAGACCAAGGGUUCCUGUCCAACGUUAAUCGGGGCAGGGUGAGUCGACCCCUAAGGCGAGGCCGAAAGGCGUAGUCGAUGGGAAACAGGUUAAUAUUCCUGUACUUGGUGUUACUGCGAAGGGGGGACGGAGAAGGCUAUGUUGGCCGGGCGACGGUUGUCCCGGUUUAAGCGUGUAGGCUGGUUUUCCAGGCAAAUCCGGAAAACUAAGGCUGAGGCGUGAUGACGAGGCACUACGGUGCUGAAGCAACAAAUGCCCUGCUUCCAGGAAAAGCCUCUAAGCAUCAGGUAACAUCAAAUCGUACCCCAAACCGACACAGGUGGUCAGGUAGAGAAUACCAAGGCGCUUGAGAGAACUCGGGUGAAGGAACUAGGCAAAAUGGUGCCGUAACUUCGGGAGAAGGCACGCUGAUAUGUAGGUGAAGUCCCUCGCGGAUGGAGCUGAAAUCAGUCGAAGAUACCAGCUGGCUGCAACUGUUUAUUAAAAACACAGCACUGUGCAAACACGAAAGUGGACGUAUACGGUGUGACGCCUGCCCGGUGCCGGAAGGUUAAUUGAUGGGGUUAGCGCAAGCGAAGCUCUUGAUCGAAGCCCCGGUAAACGGCGGCCGUAACUAUAACGGUCCUAAGGUAGCGAAAUUCCUUGUCGGGUAAGUUCCGACCUGCACGAAUGGCGUAAUGAUGGCCAGGCUGUCUCCACCCGAGACUCAGUGAAAUUGAACUCGCUGUGAAGAUGCAGUGUACCCGCGGCAAGACGGAAAGACCCCGUGAACCUUUACUAUAGCUUGACACUGAACAUUGAGCCUUGAUGUGUAGGAUAGGUGGGAGGCUUUGAAGUGUGGACGCCAGUCUGCAUGGAGCCGACCUUGAAAUACCACCCUUUAAUGUUUGAUGUUCUAACGUGGACCCGUAAUCCGGGUUGCGGACAGUGUCUGGUGGGUAGUUUGACUGGGGCGGUCUCCUCCUAAAGAGUAACGGAGGAGCACGAAGGUUGGCUAAUCCUGGUCGGACAUCAGGAGGUUAGUGCAAUGGCAUAAGCCAGCUUGACUGCGAGCGUGACGGCGCGAGCAGGUGCGAAAGCAGGUCAUAGUGAUCCGGUGGUUCUGAAUGGAAGGGCCAUCGCUCAACGGAUAAAAGGUACUCCGGGGAUAACAGGCUGAUACCGCCCAAGAGUUCAUAUCGACGGCGGUGUUUGGCACCUCGAUGUCGGCUCAUCACAUCCUGGGGCUGAAGUAGGUCCCAAGGGUAUGGCUGUUCGCCAUUUAAAGUGGUACGCGAGCUGGGUUUAGAACGUCGUGAGACAGUUCGGUCCCUAUCUGCCGUGGGCGCUGGAGAACUGAGGGGGGCUGCUCCUAGUACGAGAGGACCGGAGUGGACGCAUCACUGGUGUUCGGGUUGUCAUGCCAAUGGCACUGCCCGGUAGCUAAAUGCGGAAGAGAUAAGUGCUGAAAGCAUCUAAGCACGAAACUUGCCCCGAGAUGAGUUCUCCCUGACUCCUUGAGAGUCCUGAAGGAACGUUGAAGACGACGACGUUGAUAGGCCGGGUGUGUAAGCGCAGCGAUGCGUUGAGCUAACCGGUACUAAUGAACCGUGAGGCUUAACCUUAAACGCCGAAG